UACUAAGAUUGCUUGGCUUAGUCACGCUAAUCACAUUUCCAUGUUCAUCUAUCUCCCUUCCAAGGGCAUCCACACGCAGAACAGGAGCCUUUGCAGGUUUCUGUUGAACAGCCAUCGUCUCUGCAGGUGUCUGUCCUAGAAGAUAAUUGAUAAUGGUAGGAAACUCUGGAUCCUGACGGUACCCCAUCCUAGCUGCCACCUCCUGAGCUCUCUUAACAGCUUCAAUGUUGACCUUAUUCCCAAGGCCAGGCAAGACAGCAUGUGGUAAUGCUGAAGCAGAAGAUGUUCCUGCAGAGACAGCAGGAGUGGUAGUCGAUGGUGGCACUCUAGCAUGUGGGCUACCUUCUGAAGCCAACUUAAUACCUUGAUUCGCCUGCGUAAAGAAGAGUUAUCAAACUACAAAGUUCCCUCCAAGAAACAAAUGAUGAAUGCACAGAUCCGGAUAUCUUACCGAAGAAAGUUUCUUAAACCUGUCGGCUAAUCCCUUUCCAAGCUGAAUAGCUUUCUUAGCUUUAGCUAAUGCAUCAAGAGACAAGUUUGAACUACUUUGCCCGGAAGUUCUUCCAUCUGUACUAGAUUUUCCAUGAACCUCAUGAGACCUGACAAUACUCUUAUUUUCAUCCGUUGUGGAUAUUGAAGAUACCUUAGUGAGCAGGGUUUGACUAGGGGCUAAAGACGUUUCCGAAGCUAAAGAACUAUGCGAAGUGACGCCCUGCACAUAGACAAAUAGAUACGAGCUUUUCAAACACCAUUCGAAAUGAAACCAUCAACAAAUCUAUCGAAGCUGAGAAGAAAUAAACUCACAGUGGAGACGUCACUAGCUGCGUUCGUAGCCCUAGAACCCUCACUCACUUGAUCAUUUUUGCUCUCAUCCUCAAACCUGCUUCUCCUCUCACCACCACCACCACUCCCAUCAGAGAACCUAGAUCUCUUCUUCCCUUCCUUAUUCCCGUUCUCCUCCUCUCUCUCUUUCCUCUUGCUCCUCGUUUCCUUAUCUUUACUUCCUUCGUGAGACCUCUCCCUAUCUCUACUCCCUUCCCUCUCGCUUCGCUCGACAGAUCUCCUUCUCUCCCGAGCUCUAUCUCUCUCAUCCUCCCUAUCGUCGCGCCUCGAUGACAGGUGGUGAUCUGAAUCGCGACGCUUUGAAUCUCCAUUGCGAUGGCGGCGUCCGGCUUCGCGUUCCGGCGAACGAUCCGCACUCGAAUCACGAUCGCGAUAGUCCCUGGUGCUCCUGUAUCUCUCCUUAUCCAUGGCGAUUUAGGGUUUCUUCCUCACAUUCCCCUUCGAGUCUUUUAUUAUAACCGAAACCCCUUCCCACAACCGGAAUAAACCAGCGAGUCGUGUAAAAGCAGAAAUCGAUAAAGACUCUCGAAUCAAGUAUUCGCUGACCACUAGUCAAGCUUGCAAUAUGGGCCCAAGCCCAUUUCUAAUUCCUCUUCAAAGUUAUGGGCUUUAAAAUCGUUUUUUCUCUUUGUUAGAAAAUGAAGCUAUUUAAGCUCAAAAUCGAAAUGUAAGAAAAAAACAUGGGGAAUUCGGCCAAAAAAAACCUCAACUUUACACGAAUUGCCAAAACAAACAUGAACUUUGGGGCUGACCAAAAAAACACCAAACUUUCAUUGACUUUAGAAUUAAUUAACAAUAUUUUCGCUGACUUGCCAAUUUAGCACGCCGUCAACAAAUUUAACAGAAAUAUUUGACGUCGUUUAUUGUUGACGUUAAGUGAAACGACGUCGUUUUCAAAUGAGAUGAAACGACGUCGUUUUACAUGAUUUGAAAUUAAAAAUAUGUAAACACCUGGAUUCGAACCCAGGUUGGUUGGUCAAAUGGGAAUAUAUUUUACCACUGGGCUACUGGCACUUUCAAUGUACUUACUAAUAUGUUAACUUUUAUUUGGUACAUAUUAAAUAUAAAAAAUUCUCUAAAAACUUAAUAAGAUCUUUAAAAUUCCAAAAAAUUAAAAAAAUAAAGAAGAUUUUUAUAAAAUUAAUUUAGAAAUUAAAAUUAAAAAUAAAAUUUUAUUUUUCUUUUUAAAAAAUAAAAACUCUUCCAAAAUUUAUUUGGUCUGAAUCGAAGAAAGGUAACUAAGUGGUUCACAAUAAUAAGAUGAUUCAUUGUUACCAUAUUCUAAUAGUAAUCACCCUGGUGCUGAUUACAGAAUAAUACAAACUAUCAGAAGUAAUAGGCGGCAAACUAAUGAGCACACUAAGCCAACAGUCAAAGAGAUCAACAAUUGCAAUAUUAUGUAUACACAUCCAGACGAAAAGAAAUGGGAGAAUAAUUCUAAAUCGAAAUGAUAACCAACAGGAACCUUAGCUACAGUUAUGGUGAUUGUAGUAUGACUUUCAUCCAAUACCCUAGAUGUUACAAGUUUAGUUUGAUAAUUGUAGUAUGACUUGUUCUCCUCAAGGUUAUGCCAUGUUUAGCGUCAUCAGAUAAACAUUGGAAACAAAACAACUCAGCAUCAACAAAAAGGUAAAGUGGGAAGAAUUACGUACCACCACUCAACAUCUGGGAUUAUCUCCUUGGGUUUCUCUUUUCUCGGGGCACGUUCUGAUACCUCGAUCAAAUUUGGAUUUAUAUCAUCCCUGGCCUUAGCCAGAUGCGCUUGCUUCACCUUCAGCUCUCUUGCUUUUGCUUCACCAAAUUGACUCUACAAAUCAAACAUCAAAAUAACACACUGAAACAUCAGCAAAGGCCACCAAGAAUGAAAUGGUUAAAAAGAAUCCAUCAUAGAAAAAGACAACGCGUACCCUCAACUUCAAACUCUCAGCAUCUCUUGUCCAUUUACCUUCCUCAACAAACUGAAAACUCAUACGCUUGGGUCUCAAAAUCUUGUUUUUGUCAAUCCCCAUCCUCGGAUCAAAGUGGGGGUUUUCUUCUGGAUUUACUUCCAGUUGAGGUUUAAGAAUCUGAAAGGCAUCUUUCUUCUGUUUGUUGAUAUUAACCUGUAGAUAUCCAAGUAUAUUAGGAGCUCGAUCAUUAAAAAAAAUACAAAGUUUAGACAUUUAAAUUCACUUUAUUGACCUUUAAUGUACUAAGAUUGCUUGGCUUAGUCACGCUAAUCACAUUUCCAUGUUCAUCUAUCUCCCUUCCAAGGGCAUCCACACGCAGAACAGGAGCCUUUGCAGGUUUCUGUUGAACAGCCAUCGUCUCUGCAGGUGUCUGUCCUAGAAGAUAAUUGAUAAUGGUAGGAAACUCUGGAUCCUGACGGUACCCCAUCCUAGCUGCCACCUCCUGAGCUCUCUUAACAGCUUCAAUGUUGACCUUAUUCCCAAGGCCAGG
rnacentral:lncRNA from 1 species